rnacentral:rRNA from 1 species
UCAGCGGCGGACGGGUGAGUAACACGUGGGCACUGCCUGUAAGACUGGAUAACUCCGGGAACCGGGGCUAUACGGAUAACUCUUUUCCUCACAUGAGGAAAAGCUGAAAGAUGGUUUCGGCUAUCACUUACAGAUGGGCCCGCGGCGCAUUAGCUAGUUGGUGAGGUAACGGCUCACCAAGGCCACGAUGCGUAGCCGACCUGAGAGGGUGAUCGGCCACACUGGGACUGAGACACGGCCCAGACUCCUACGGGAGGCAGCAGUAGGGAAUCUUCCGCAAUGGACGAAAGUCUGACGGAGCAACGCCGCGUGAGUGAUGAAGGUUUUCGGAUCGUAAAACUCUGUUGUCAGGGAAGAACAAGUACCGGAGUAACUGCCGGUACCUUGACGGUACCUGACCAGAAAGCCACGGCUAACUACGUGCCAGCAGCCGCGGUAAUACGUAGGUGGCAAGCGUUGUCCGGAAUUAUUGGGCGUAAAGCGCGCGCAGGCGGUUCCUUAAGUCUGAUGUGAAAGCCCCCGGCUCAACCGGGGAGGGUCAUUGGAAACUGGGGAACUUGAGUGCAGAAGAGAAGAGUGGAAUUCCACGUGUAGCGGUGAAAUGCGUAGAGAUGUGGAGACACCAGUGGCGAAGGCGACUCUUUGGUCUGUAACUGACGCUGAGGCGCGAAAGCGUGGGGAGC